AAAUUGUUGAAAGGGAAGCGUUUGUGACCAGACUUGCGCCGGGCAGCUCAUCAGGGGUUCCUCCCCUGUGCACUCUGCCCGGCUCAGGCCAGCAUCGGUUCUCGUGGGCGGACAAGAGCGGCGGGAAUGUGGCCCCCCCUCGGGGGGGUGUUAUAGCCCGCCGCACGAUACGCCCGUGGGGACCGAGGUUCGCGCUCCGCAAGGAUGCUGGCGUAAUGGUCACCAACGACCCGUCUUGAAACACGGACCAAGGAGUCGUCCAUUAGAGCGAGCGUUUGGGUGUCAAACCCGCACGCGUAAUGAAAGUGAACGCAGGUGAGAGCUUCGGCGCAUCAUCGACCGAUCCUGAUGUCCUCGGAUGGAUUUGAGUAAGAGUUUUAACGGACGGACCCGAAAGACAGUGAACUAUGCUUGUAUAGGGUGAAGCCAGAGGAAACUCUGGUGGAGGCUCGCAGCGGUUCUGACGUGCAAAUCGAU
rnacentral:rRNA from 1 species